UAGGGAAUAUUGGUCAAUGGAGGCAACUCUGAACCAGCCAUGCCGCGUGUAGGAAGAAGGCGUUCUGCGUUGUAAACUACUUUUGAUUGGGAACAAAUGACUCUUGCGAGAGUAGCUGAGUGUACCAAUAGAAUAAGCCACGGCUAACUACGUGCCAGCAGCCGCGGUAAUACGUAGGUGGCAAGCGUUGUCCGGAUUUAUUGGGUUUAAAGGGUGCGUAGGCGGCUUUUUAAGUCAGUGGUGAAAGCCGAUCGCUUAACGAUCGAACUGCCAUUGAUACUGAAAGGCUUGAGUAUAGAUGAGGUAGGCGGAAUUGACAGUGUAGCGGUGAAAUGCAUAGAUAUUGUCAAGAACACCAAUUGCGAAGGCAGCUUACUAAGUUAUAACUGACGCUGAGGCACGAAAGUGCGGGGAUCAAACA
rnacentral:rRNA from 1 species